AAUGAACGCUGGCGGCAUGCCUAACACAUGCAAGUCGAACGAGACCUUCGGGUCUAGUGGCGCGCGGGUGCGUAACGCGUGGGAAUCUGCCCUUGGGUUCGGAAUAACAGUGAGAAAUUACUGCUAAUACCGGAUGAUGUCGUAAGACCAAAGAUUUAUCGCCCAAGGAUGAGCCCGCGUAGGAUUAGCUAGUUGGUGGGGUAAAAGCUCACCAAGGCGACGAUCAUUAGCUGGUCUGAGAGGAUGAUCAGCCACACUGGGACUGAGACACGGCCCAGACUCCUACGGGAGGCAGUAGUGGGGAAUAUUGGACAAUGGGCGAAAGCCUGAUCCAGCAAUGCCGCGUGAGUGAUGAAGGCCCUAGGGUUGUAAAACUCUUUUACCCGGGAUGAUAAUGACAGUACCGGGAGAAUAAGCUCCGGCUAACUUCGUGCCAGCCGCCGCAGUAA
rnacentral:rRNA from 1 species